UUACACUAUUAGGCGGUCAAGAAGCAGAUCGAGACGGCGGUCACAUUCUAAGUCUAGGAGUCGGCGACGAUCCAAAAGCCCAAGGCGGAGAAGAUCUCAUUCCAGAGAAAGAGGUAGAAGGUCAAGGAGCACAUCAAAAACAAGAGACAAAAAGAAAGAAGACAAAGAAAAGAAACGUUCUAAAACACCACCAAAAAGUUACAGCACAGCCAGACGUUCUAGAAGUGCAAGCAGGUAAGAGACGACGACGAAGAAGCAGGAGUGGCACAAGAUCUCCUAAAAAGCCUCGGUCUCCUAAAAGAAAAUUGUCCCGCUCACCAUCCCCUAGGAGACAUAAAAAGGAGAAGAAGAAAGAUAAAGACAAAGAAAGAAGUAGGGAUGAAAGAGAACGAUCAACAAGCAAGAAGAAGAAGAGUAAAGAUAAGGAAAAGGACCGGGAAAGAAAAUCAGAGAGUGAUAAAGAUGUAAAACAGGUUACACGGGAUUAUGAUGAAGAGGAACAGGGGUAUGACAGUGAGAAAGAGAAAAAAGAAGAGAAGAAACCAAUAGAAACAGGUUCCCCUAAAACAAAGGAAUGUUCUGUGGAAAAGGGAACUGGUGAUUCACUAAGAGAAUCCAAAGUGAAUGGGGAUGAUCAUCAUGAAGAAGACAUGGAUAUGAGUGACUGAAUAUUGCCUCUGAGGGAGUCCAACUGUAUACCUGCAUCAGUGUCAUUCCUUUGUGUGAUUUCUUAAUGCUGUAUUUGUUCAUCUCAAACCUAGAUGUAUACAGCUCUGAGUUAUAAAUGGUUAUAAAGCUCCUGUUACUCAUAUUAGUUAUUUACAUCAAAAAGCUUUUAGAAAAUGGUACGAGGUAACCAAUUCUUGUCAUGGUGAAAUCUGAUUGAGUAACCAAGCAGUUUUACUAUUCUGGUGCUGCUUCAUAACAAAAAUGAAAAGCUGCAUGCAUCUACAGCAGGCAUGGAUUGUUUAUGUCGUAUGAUAUCCUUUAUUAAGUAAGUUCACUUAUAGUAUUUCUAUAAUUUGAUUCAUUGCCGUAAUAGAGCCAUGUAGGAAAUGCACUGAUUGCAUGUUAUUGUGGCAAGAAUAUCCUAAAUGUCAUUAAAAUCCUCCAACAUGAUGGAUCUACUUAUGGUCUUGUUUGUUGACAUGACAAAUUAACAUUCUUAUAGUUACAUCUGGAAAUGAGCAUUUGAAAUAGAUAAUCCUUUAAGCCUUGUGGCAAAAUUUUUGUGGCUUUUGUUUAACUUUGAAAGGUUAUUAUGCACUAACCUUUUUUGGUGGCUAAUUAGGGUUUAAAUACAGAAACAAGAUUUCAAAUAAAACUGUCUUUGGCAGUGAGUAAAUAGCAUAUUUUGAAGUAGAGUUGUAUACUUUUUCAUAAGAUGUUUGGGAAUUUUUUUCCUGAAGUAAUAAUUUAUUCCACAUCUACAUCAGUGAAAGCUAUCUACCUAUCCUGAGUCUAUC
rnacentral:lncRNA from 1 species